UUUCCUCAUAUUCAUUCAGG
rnacentral:miRNA from 1 species